GCUUUGAACUAAAGUGUGAGUUUGGGGCUUUAUUCCACUUCUGGUGGUGGUAGGGUGCUGGCAGUUUAGGUAACAAUGUUUCCAUCUCCACCCCCGGCAGUGUAUAUGAUCCGCCUGGGCACGCUGGAACAGGAGGCCA